rnacentral:rRNA from 1 species
UAGGGAAUCUUCGGCAAUGGACGAAAGUCUGACCGAGCAACGCCGCGUGAGUGAAGAAGGUUUUCGGAUCGUAAAACUCUGUUGUUAGAGAAGAACAAGGACGUUAGUAACUGAACGUCCCCUGACGGAAUCUAACCAGAAAGCCACGGCUAACUACGUGCCAGCAGCCGCGGUAAUACGUAGGUGGCAAGCGUUGUCCGGAUUUAUUGGGCGUAAAGCGAGCGCAGGCGGUUUCUUAAGUCUGAUGUGAAAGCCCCCGGCUCAACCGGGGAGGGUCAUUGGAAACUGGGAGACUUGAGUGCAGAAGAGGAGAGUGGAAUUCCAUGUGUAGCGGUGAAAUGCGUAGAUAUAUGGAGGAACACCAGUGGCGAAGGUGGCUCUCUGGUCUGUAACUGACGCUGAGGCUCGAAAGCGUGGGGAGCAAACAGG